rnacentral:lncRNA from 1 species
AGUCAAGGUUUUUAGGUGGGGAAGGUUUCUAGGUUGGGCUGGAAGAUGGAAGAAAGACAAAGGAGAGAGAAGGAGAAAAGGUGAGAGAAAAAAGUGGUGUCAGUUUUCCGUUAGACACAUCAGCAAAUUUUUAACGGAGUUAGUUUUGGAAGACUAAAACCAAAGUUUCCCAAAGUUGGAGGACUAAAUUGUACCUUACUUUGAAAGAGGGACUAAACCCAAAAUCGCCCUAAAGUAUAGGGACUAAAAACAUAUUUAACCCUUUUUUUAAAUAAAAAAUUACAAACUUUCUAUAAUUCAAAUCUAAACAAAUUUCACUCCCACCAAGUGUUUAAUUAGUUUUGACAAAGGAACUUA